UACGUAGGCAGCGAGCGUUGUUCGGAAUUACUGGGCGUAAAGAGUGUGUAGGCGGUGUUCCCAGUCUGUUGUGAAAUCUCCCGGCUUAACUGGGAGGGUGCAGCGGAAACUAGAAUGCUAGAGGGUGGGAGAGGUAAGCGGAAUUCCUGGUGUAGCGGUGAAAUGCGUAGAUAUCAGGAGGAACACCUGUGGUGUAGACAGCUUACUGGACCACUUCUGACGUGAGACACGGAAAGCGUGGGGAGCAAACAGG
rnacentral:rRNA from 1 species